GGCGCAGACGGUUAUUUAAGCAAGAUGUGAAAGCCCCGGGCUCAACCUGGGAACUGCGUUUUGAACUGGGUAACUAGAGUGUGUCAGAGGGGGGUAGAAUUCCUGGUGUAGCAGUGAAAUGCGUAGAGAUCAGGAGGAACAUCCGUGGCGAAGGCGACUGCCUGGGCCAACACUGACACUGAGGCACGAAAGCGUGGGGAGCAAACA
rnacentral:rRNA from 1 species